rnacentral:rRNA from 1 species
UACGGGGGGGGUAAGCGUUGUUCGGAAUUACUGGGCGUAAAGGGCUCGUAGGCGGCCAACUAAGUCAGACGUGAAAUCCCUCAGCUUAACUGGGGAACUGCGUCUGAUACUGGAUGGCUUGGAUUCGGGAGAGGAAUGCGGAAUUCCAGGUGUAGCGGUGAAAUGCGUAGAUAUUGGGAGGAACACCAGUGGCGAAGGCGGCUCACUGGACCGGAACUGACGCUGAUGCGCGAAAGCGUGGGGAGCGAACAGG